UAACGGAGGGUGCAAGCGUUAUCCGGAUUCACUGGGUUUAAAGGGUGCGUAGGCGGGCAGGUAAGUCAGUGGUGAAAUCCCCGAGCUUAACUUGGGAACUGCCGUUGAUACUAUCUGUCUUAAUACUAUGGAGGUAAGCGGAAUAUGUCAUGUAGCGGUGAAAAUGCUUAGAUAUGAACAUAGAACACCAAUUGCGAAGGCAGCUUG
rnacentral:rRNA from 1 species